UGCCAGCCGCCGCGGUAAUACGGAGGGGGCUAGCGUUGUUCGGAAUUACUGGGCGUAAAGCGCGCGUAGGCGGUUUAUCAAGUCAGGGGUGAAAUCCCGGAGCUCAACUCCGGAACUGCCCUUGAGACUGAUAGACUAGAGUUCGAGAGAGGCAAGUGGAAUACCUAGUGUAGAGGUGAAAUUCGUAGAUAUUAGGUGGAACACCAGUGGCGAAGGCGACUUGCUGGAUCGAUACUGACGCUGAGGUGCGAAAGCGUGGGGAGCAAACAGGAUUAGAUA
rnacentral:rRNA from 1 species